rnacentral:rRNA from 1 species
GACGAACGCUGGCGGCGUGCCUAAUACAUGCAAGUAGAACGCAGUUGCGAACGGGUGAGUAACGCGUAGGUAACUGCCUGGUAGCGGGGGAUAACUAUUGGAAACGAUAGAUAAUACCGCAUACUACCAGAUGGAACUGCGUGGUAUUCGCUAGUUGGUGGGGUAACGGCUUACAAAGGCGACGAGAAAUAGCCGCCCGGAGAGGGUGGUCGGCCAAACUGGGACUGAGAAACGGCCCAGACGCAUACGGGAGGCAGCAGUAGGGAAUAUUCGGCAAUGGACGGAAGUCUGACCGAGCAACGCCGCGUGAGGGAAGAAGGUUUUCGGAUCGUAAAGCUCUGUUGUAAGAGAAGCGGUAUCUUACCAGAAAGGGACGGCUAACUACGUGCCAGCAGCCGCGGUAAUAC